rnacentral:rRNA from 1 species
UACGGGGGGGGCAAGCGUUGUUCGGAAUUAUUGGGCGUAAAGAGCUCGUAGGCGGUUUGUUGCGUCGGCUGUGAAAUCCCGAGGCUCAACCUCGGGUCUGCAGUCGAUACGAGCAAACUAGAGUGUUGCAGGGGAGACUGGAAUUCCUGGUGUAGCGGUGAAAUGCGCAGAUAUCAGGAGGAACACCGGAGGCGAAGGCGGCUCACUGGGGGUCUUCUGACGCUGAGGAACGAAAGCCAGGGGAGCGAACGGG